UACUGACAAAAAAAAAAUAAA
rnacentral:piRNA from 1 species